UACGAAGGGGGCUAGCGUUGCUCGGAAUUAUUGGGCGUAAAGGGCGCGUAGGCGGCUGGACAAGUCAAAGGUGAAAUCCCUCGGCUCAACUGAGGAACUGCCUUUGAAACUGUCCGGCUUGAGGCCGGGAGGGGGUAGCGGAAUUCCCAGUGUAGCGGUGAAAUGCGUAGAUAUCGGGAGGAACACCAGUGGCGAAGGCGAGUCUCUGGGAUGAUGCUGACGCUGAGGCGCGAAAGCCAGGGGAGCAAACGGG
rnacentral:rRNA from 1 species